CGGGUUAAGAGGGCGCAAACACUUCAUCCUCACAGUCAAAGCAAAAGCCUACACCCUAUGAGAUUCUUUGGAGAAAACCUGAGAACUCAUCAACUGGUUGUAAAGAAGAAAUUCAAACUGUGAUGGCAGCUCAACUGGACAGUACUCCUUACAACUUCAGUGAAUCCAGGACCGGCCAUGAGCUUAGAAACCAAGACCCCAGAGAUUCACAACUGCGACUUGUCUUACUGGGUAAGACUGGAGCAGGAAAAAGUGCCUCAGGGAACAGCAUCCUUGGAAAGAAAGCAUUUCAUUCCAGCAUUGCAGCAA